UAAGGAAUAUUGGACAAUGGUCGCAAGACUGAUCCAGCCAUGCCGCGUGCAGGAAGACGGCCCUAUGGGUUGUAAACUGCUUUUGUACCAGAGAAAACCUAUCUACGUGUAGAUAGCUGAUAGUAUGGUAAGAAUAAGCAUCGGCUAACUACGUGCCAGCAGCCGCGGUAAUACGUAGGACCCAAGCGUUGUCCGGAUUUACUGGGUGUAAAGGGUGCGCAGGCGGAUGGGUAAGUCAGGGGUGAAAGUCUGCAGCUUAACUGUAGAAUUGCCUUUGAUACUGCUCAUCUUGAGUGUGGGAGAGGUUGAUGGAAUUCCAGGUGUAGCAGUGAAAUGCGUAGAUAUCUGGAAGAACACCAGUGGCGAAGGCGGUCAACUGGCCCAUAACUGACGCUCAUGCACGAAAGCGUGGGGAGCAAACA
rnacentral:rRNA from 1 species